rnacentral:rRNA from 1 species
UUAAGAGUUUUGAUCCUGGCUCAGGAUGAACGCUGGCGGCGUGGCUUAACACAUGCAAGUCGAACGGUGAAGCAGGAGCUUGCUUCUUGUGGAUCAGUGGCGAACGGGUGAGUAACACGUGAGCAACCUGCCCCGGACUGUGGGAUAAGCGCUGGAAACGGCGUCUAAUACUGGAUAUGAGACGUGACCGCAUGGUCAACGUUUGGAAAGAUUUUUCGGUNUGGGAUGGGCUCGCGGCCUAUCAGCUUGUUGGUGAGGUAAUGGCUCACCAAGGCGUCGACGGGUAGCCGGCCUGAGAGGGUGACCGGCCACACUGGGACUGAGACACGGCCCAGACUCCCUACGGGAGGCAGCAGUGGGGAAUAUUGCACAAUGGGCGAAAGCCUGAUGCAGCAACGCCGCGUGAGGGAUGACGGCCUCGGGUUGUAAACCUCUUUUAGCAGGGAAGAAGCGAGAGUGACGGUACNGCAGAAAAAGCGCNGNNACAAACGUUACAAA